rnacentral:rRNA from 1 species
GAGCGUAGGAGAUGGACAACUGGCAGAUAUUCCAGUACCGGUAAUGAUUGUUUGAGCGAUGGAGUGACACAGGAGGGCAGGCAGGCAGGAGAUUGGUUGUUCCUGUACAAGCGUGUAGGAUGGGACGUAGGCAAAUCCGCGUCCUGAGAGUCUGAGGCGUGAUGUGGAGGUUCCGGAAACGGAACUGAAGCUGCUGACCCCACACUGUCGAGAAAAGCUUCUAGUUAGAGAAUUACCGCCCGUACCGUAAACCGACACAGGUAUGCGGGGAGAGAAUCCUAAGGUGCGCGGGAGAACCCUCGUUAAGGAACUCGGCAAAAUGUACCCGUAACUUCGGGAUAAGGGUAGCCGCUGUUGUGAAGUCUGCACAGAUGGAGCAUGAGGCGGUCGCAGAGAAGAGGCCCAAGCGACUGUUUACCACAAACACAGGUGCCUGCUAAAGAGAAAUCUGACGUAUAGGUGCUGACACCUGCCCAGUGCCGGAAGGUUAAGGAAGGAUGUCCGGAGCAAUCCAAAGCAUUCGACCGAAGCCCCGGUGAACGGCGGCCGUAACUAUAACGGUCCUAAGGUAGCGAAAUUCCUUGUCGGGUAAGUUCCGACCCGCACGAAAGGUGUAACGAUUUGGGCACUGUCUCAACGAGGGACCCGGUGAAAUUGAAGUACCUGUGAAGAUGCAGGUUACCCGCGACUGGACAGAAAGACCCCAUGGAGCUUUACUGUAACCUGACAUUGUGUUCUGAUACAUCACGUACAGGAUAGGUGGGAGACUUGGAAGCUGGGACGCUAGUCUCAGUGGAGUCAACGUUGGGAUACCACCCUUGAUGUAUCGGAAUUCUAACCGUAGGAGUAACGAAACUCGGGACAGUGUCAGGCGGGCAGUUUGACUGGGGCGGUCGCCUCCCAAAGAGUAACGGAGGCGCCCAAAGGUUCCCUCAGCGCGGCCGGAAAUCGCGCGAAGAGUGUAAAGGCAGAAGGGAGCUUGACUGAGAGCCAAACACGGCAAUCAGGUACGAAAGUAGGGCUUAGUGAUCCGGUGGCAUCCAAGUGGAAGGGCCAUCGCUCAACGGAUAAAAGCUACCCUGGGGAUAACAGGCUAAUCUCUCCCAAGAGUCCAUAUCGACGGGGAGGUUUGGCACCUCGAUGUCGGCUCAUCACAUCCUGGGGCUGAAGUCGGUCCCAAGGGUUGGGCUGUUCGCCCAUUAAAGUGGUACGUGAGCUGGGUUCAGAACGUCGUGAGACAGUUCGGUCCCUAUCCAUCGCGGGCGCAAGAGAUUUGAAGGGGGCUGCUCCUAGUACGAGAGGACCGGAGUGGACGAACCAAUGGUGUACCAAUUGUCUCGCCAGAGGCAUAGUUGGGUAGCUACGUUCGGAAAGGAUAAACGCUGAAAGCAUCUAAGCGUGAAACCAGCCUUAAGAUGAGAUCUCUCAUAGAGUAAUCUAGUAAGACACCUUGGAGAAGACGAGGUUGAUAGGUCGGGAGUGUAAGUACAGUAAUGUAUUCAGCGGACCGAUACUAAUAUGUCGAGGGCUUGACUUA